UACAGAGGUCCCGAGCGUUGUUCGGAUUUAUUGGGCGUAAAGAGCGUGUAGGCGGCCUGAAAGGUCAGCUGUGAAAACUCGAGGCUCAACCUCGAGACGUCGGUUGAAACCAUCUGGCUAGAGUCCGGAAGAGGAGUGUGGAAUUCCCGGUGUAGCGGUGAAAUGCGCAGAUAUCGGGAAGAACACCCGUGGCGAAGGCGGCACUCUGGGACGGUACUGACGCUGAGACGCGAAAGCGUGGGGAGCGAACAGG
rnacentral:rRNA from 1 species